AUUGAACGCUGGCGGUAUGCCUUACACAUGCAAGUCGAACGGUAACAGGUCUUCGGAUGCUGACGAGUGGCGAACGGGCGAGUAAUACAUCGGAACGUGCCUAGUAGUGGGGGAUAACUACUCGAAAGAGUGGCUAAUACCGCAUGAGAUCUACGGAUGAAAGCAGGGGAUCGCAAGACCUUGUGCUACUAGAGCGGCCGAUGGCAGAUUGGGUAGUUGGUGGGAUAAAAGCUUACCAAGCCGACGAUCUGUAGCUGGUCUGAGAGGACGAUCAGCCACACUGGGACUGAGACACGGCCCAGACUCCUACGGGAGGCAGCAGUGGGGAAUUUUGGACAAUGGGCGAAAGCCUGCUCCAGCAAUGCCGCGUGCAGGAUGAAGGCCUUCGGGUUGUAAACUGCUUUUGUACGGAACGAAAAGCCCCGGGUUAAUACCCUGGGGUCAUGACGGUACCGUAAGAAUAAGCACCGGCUAACUACGUGCCAGCAGCCGCGGUAA
rnacentral:rRNA from 1 species